CAUUAUAUAUAUGUAAUACAAGACUUAUGUAAUCCCAAAAAAGAGAGUCACACGCAUUCUCAUAAUCUACUUUGAAUUAUAUGACUUUUUUUCUAUUAUCCCUACGCCAAACACUAAUCUUAUUAACAAUCAAAGGUUUUAGGUUCCUUUAAAAUUUGACAGUAAUCUUUUGUUUAGGUAACCAAUAACGCUUGUCGGCUGGUAAUUUUUCACAAACUUCGGGUCUAGGACUUUUGGGAUGAAAGCUAUUAAGGACAGGUUACACUAAGUUCAUAUCUUCUCUUCCGUCUCCUCCCACAUCCGACCCUGUAGAGCGUCGAACACCUCCUCCGACCUCCUCCCGUCGUCGACCUCCCUGAAAUCGACUCCAUCAUCUGACCACCGCCUCUACUUGCGCCGCCAUUUCCACCGGUAAUGAACCCCUCCAUCUUCCUCAAAUUCGUCGACUGUGGUAAUGAACUCCUCCACCACCUCUGUGUGAUUUUUCAUCCCCCCCUCGUUUUAUUUGCAUUUCUUAUUCUAGACUAUAUAAUCCAAAGUUCCAUUCAGUCACUUUUGUAAUUACGCAGUCAAUUUCCUAGGACUUCACUCAUUACAACUCUUAUACCCGCCAACUGUUUGUGAAAAGUCCAGUUGCAUCCUCACAAAUCAAAGUUCAUGCGCCUUUCAGAAGGCUAUAGUAUUGCUUCAAAGAUUGAUGUUGAUCAUAUGCAAAUAAUCUCACACAUGAAGAAAUACAUAAUAGGAAAGGCAUCAAAACGGAAGGAUAGGGUUCAGUUAAUUUUAGAAAGAACAAAUUGGAAUAGUUUUUGUGUCGUGUUUGAAAAUAUUUAUGUUUGGAUUUUAUUUGAAAUUUAGUAUUAUUUGGUGGAUUUGAAAAUAUUUUUGUUUGA